AGCUGGAGAAGAUGCCCCCGGUGAAGAAGACAGAGGUCCAGCCCCGUGAGGUCACCAUCUACCUGGAGGAGCUGGACAAGUCUCCACUCAGCUUCACCAUCUCAGUGAAACAAGAGAUUGAAGUGCAGAACCUGAAGCCAGCAACAGUGACGGUCUAUGAUUAUUACCAACCAGGUGACAGUGUGAUUACAGAAUACAAC